UCAGCAAUCAGCAUCGAGCCGCAGCC
rnacentral:sRNA from 1 species